rnacentral:rRNA from 1 species
UACAGAGGGUGCGAGCGUUAAUCGGAGUUACUGGGCGUAAAGGGCGCGUAGGCGGCCGCCUAAGUCAGACGUGAAAUCCCUCGGCUCAACCGGGGAACUGCGUCUGAUACUGGGUGGCUUGAAUUCGGGAGAGGGAUGCGGAAUUCCAGGUGUAGCGGUGAAAUGCGUAGAUAUCUGGAGGAACAUCGGUGGCGAAGGCGGCAUCCUGGACCGAGAUUGGCGCUGAGGCGCGAAAGCCAGGGGAGCAAACAGG